rnacentral:misc_RNA from 1 species
GAAUACUAAACACUGUUGCUUCGGCCCUCAGCCCCUCCGGGAAGCAAGCAGCCGGCGACCACUGAACUUCAUGCCUGAGAGUGAUGCAGUCUGAGUCUGAAUUAUAAAUCAGUCAAAACUUUCAACAAUGGAUCUCUUGGUUCCGGCAUCGAUGAAGAACGCAGCGAACUGCGAUAAGUAAUGUGAAUUGCAGAAUUCAGUGAAUCAUCGAGUCUUUGAACGCACAUUGCGCCCCCUGGCAUUCCGGGGGGCAUGCCUGUCCGAGCGUCAUUGCUGCCCUUCAAGCCCGGCUUGUGUGUUGGGUCGUCGUCCCCCCCGGGGGACGGGCCCGAAAGGCAGCGGCGGCACCGUGUCCGGUCCUCGAGCGUAUGGGGCUUUGUCACCCGCUCGAUUAGGGCCGGCCGGGCGCCAGCCGGCGUCAUCAAUCUAUUUUACCAGGUUGACCUCGGAUCA